CAUUCCAGGGGCUGGGUGUAUCAAUCGCUGUCAUACAUCCUGUUCGGAAGUGCUCUUCUUAAUGGCUGCCUGAAGACUUGGGACUAUUUCUAAAUUGCCAUGGCUUCCUUGUGCCCAGUUGCCUCAAGACUCUGGGCUCUCAAGACACCCCAGGCUUUGUUAAACAAUGGAGAGCCUGGCUCCUGGGCUGGUGAAGAUGCAGAUCUGAAUGUAUAGAGGAUGGACCCAGACUUCCAGGAGACCUUCCCUGAGUUUUUCUGGCUGCCUCGAUCUUCUGUCAUUGUUUGCAGGGAGCAGGACCACCAGGUUAAUACAAUAGAGAGCUCAGCAAUUCUUAAGGAAAUCUUCAGAACAAAUCAUCUGAAGGUCUAACAAUCUGCUAGGAGACUCUGCUCUUGAUGCUGUUUGUAGCUCAACUUUAAUCGAAGCAUGAUUCUUUGACAUCCCAACCAUGAUCCCUUCCCCUUCCACCAAAAUCGCAUCCAAAUGGAAGCUUCAACAAGCCUCACUUCUUUCCCUGACACUGAAGCCACUGGGAUCAGAAUCACUGAUUCACUAUUGGCCUUGGAGAUUCUGCUUCUUACCAGGUGGUGAUGGGAUCUAUCCUAGAUGCAAAUUCAUGGAGAGAAGGAUAAUUAAGACCAUCUUCCUUACAUGAUCUGACUCCAUUAUAAACAGACCAUUUAUGUAAACUCAGCCUCAAGGCUGGGAUGUCCUUUUCACCAUACUUCCUGCUUGAGGUUCACAUGCUGGUAACUCAUUUCUUGCUGUAAAAGGCUGCAGUCAUCCUAGGCCUACUUUAAAAUGCAAAUAAAACUGGUCCCCCAUA